GAUGAACGCUGGCGGCGUGCCUAACACAUGCAAGUCGAACGAACCUGAUCUUCGGAAAAGGUUAGUGGCGCACGGGUGAGUAACACGUAGGUGACCUGCCCUGGAGUGGGGGAUAACUUCUCGAAAGAGAGGCUAAUACCGCAUACGCUCGGCCAUUCAGUUGGUCGAGUAAAGCUCCGGCGCUCCAGGAGGGGCCUGCGUCCGAUUAGCUAGUUGGUGAGGUAAUGGCUCACCAAGGCGAUGAUCGGUAGCUGGUCUGAGAGGACGAUCAGCCACACUGGCACUGACAUACGGGCCAGACUCCUACGGGAGGCAGCAGUGAGGAAUAUUGGUCAAUGGGCGAAAGCCUGAACCAGCAACGCCGCGUGAGGGAUGAAGGCCUUCGGGUCGUAAACCUCUUUUCUGGGAGAAGAGACAAGGACGGUAUCCCAGGAAUAAGUCUCGGCUAACUACGUGCCAGCAGCCGCAGUAAAAC
rnacentral:rRNA from 1 species